rnacentral:rRNA from 1 species
AUUGAACGCUGGCGGCAGGCCUAACACAUGCAAGUCGAGCGCGAAAGGCCUUCGGGCUGAGUAGAGCGGCGGACGGGUGAGUAACGCGUAGGAAUCUACCUGGUAGUGGGGGACAACUUGGGGAAACUCAAGCUAAUACCGCAUACGCCCCAUGGGGGAAGGCGGGGGACCUUCGGGCCUCGCGCUAUCAGAUGAGCCUGCGUAGGAUUAGCUAGUUGGUGAGGUAAAGGCUCACCAAGGCGACGAUCCUUAGCUGGUCUGAGAGGAUGAUCAGCCACACUGGGACUGAGACACGGCCCAGACUCCUACGGGAGGCAGCAGUGGGGAAUAUUGCGCAAUGGGGGCAACCCUGACGCAGCCAUGCCGCGUGUGUGAAGAAGGCCUUCGGGUUGUAAGGCACUUUAAGUGGGGAGAAAGGCCCGUUGGUUAAUAGCCAGCGGGAUUGAUGUUACCCACAGAAUAAGCACCGGCUAACUCCGUGCCAGCCGCCGCCGUAAAAC